AUCAACAUCCCGGCAAGGUUGAAGUGAAGGCUAUGAUGUGGGAGGUUGACAGGAUUGAGUGUUCAUGUCAUAGGAUUGAAGAAGACAUUGUGAUUGCUGGGUCAUUUCCUCCCCCUAUUCAUGAUUCAGUUUGCUUCUGAACUUUAGAUAGAGAGUGCUUUCAUGUGAGAGUGCUUUAUAUCCAGUGCCUUCAAUGCUCAUGCUUUGGGAGCUUUAGCAGAGGUUGCUGGACCUGGUCUUGAUGCCCCCAUUGGUACCAUCCUUCCUGCUUUACUCACUGCAAUGGGCUAUACUGAUAUGGUUCAAAGUCUCGCCAAGAAAGCAGCAGAAACUGUUGUCACUGUAAUUGAAGAGGAAGGUAUCAAGUCUUCGCUGUCGGGGCUUCUCAAAGGAGUUGGAGAUAUUCAGGAUUCAGUCAGACAAAGUUCUGCAUACUUUAUUGGAUAUUUAUUCAAAACCAGUGAUCUAUAUCUUGUUGUUGAGGCUCCAAAUGUGAUAUCCAUCCUGAUUAUUUUACUAAGUGAUUCAGAUUCAGCUACCGUGAAGGUUGCUUGGGAAGCAUUGUCUAGUGUGAUAAGUUCAGUUCCUGAAGAAGUUCUUCCUUCAUAUAUAAAGUUGGUUCGUGAUGUAUAGAAACAUGCCGGGAGGAUCAGUUCUAAUACCUGGUUUUUGCCUCUGGAAAGCUCUUCAACCUGUGCUUCCUAUUUUCCUCCAGGACUGUUCGAUCUAGUGCUCUUGCCCUUGGUAAACUAAGUGCACUCACAACUAGGAUUGAUCCUUUGGUUGGUGAUCUUUUAUCUGCUUUGC